rnacentral:other from 1 species
UUUCCCCUGCCUGGAUUGCGUGAUGGGCGGCCAACCUCGUGCCCGAUAGCUGUCCAACGGGGUCCUGUCCGCGCCUGCGGUGUGCAAGCCCCCGGCUUGAAAAGGCCGACUGGGGAAGCCUGAAGCAGGCCAACCGGGGUCCCACCUGCCAUAGCGCAGGGCACCACCGAUGCUGCCCACACGGCCGAGGCGGGGGGAUU